rnacentral:piRNA from 1 species
GUGGGCAGCCAAGAUGGAC